GAGGCGGAUCCGAAAAGCCAUACGAGUAGGAA
rnacentral:ncRNA from 1 species